rnacentral:rRNA from 1 species
UAGGGAAUCUUCCGCAAUGGGCGAAAGCUUGACGGAGCAACGCCGCGUGAGUGAUGAAGGUCUUCGGAUCGUAAAACUCUGUUAUUAGGGAAGAACACAUGUGCAAGUAACUAUGCACGUCUUGACGGUACCUAAUCAGAAAGCCACGGCUAACUACGUGCCAGCAGCCGCGGAAAUACGUAGGUGGCAAGCGUUAUCCGGAAUGAUUGGGCGUAAAGCGCGCGUAGGCGGUGUGUUAAGUCUGAUGUGAAAGCCCACGGCUCAACCGUGGAGGGUCAUUGGAAACUGGGAAAGUUGAGUUCAGAAGAGGAAAGUGGAAUUCCACGGGCAUGGGUGAAAUGCGCAGAGAGAUGGCGGGACACCAGGGUCGAAAGGGACUCUCUGGUCGGUAACUGACCCUGAUGUGCGAAAGCGUGGGGAUCAAACAGG